ACUCGCAGGUCCUACUCCACUCCAAGUGGCCGCGCUCCCCUAAACCCUCUCCUCUCCAGAUUCCAGAAGCAGCGGGGGCAGAGAGAAGCCGCCGGGGAUUCGGCGGCGUGGUGUCGUCCCUCCUCCACAAGCCAUGGAUAUUGCAAGAUGUCAGCACUGGGAUGGCAAUCAACAUGUUAUCAGAGCUAAAUCCACAUGGACUCAAUUGGAAUAUUCAUGUGUGGAUAUUAAGAAUGUGGAAGUUACUCUGAUCGUGGAUGAAAAGGUGUGAUCUACAUUUACACUAUAAAUAUUUCUAUACCAACUCUUUUUUACCCUAACACAAAUUAAUUUUAUCACAAAAUAAUGCUAUACAUGCUGAAGUACCACCAGAGGCAAUUUCACAACUCAAGAAUCAUCUAAGUGAAGGGAAAAUAGUUGACAAUUUUUAGCCCACAAGGCCAAAAAUAUAAAUAGAAUCUAAUGAGUAUGCAGUUGAUCAAGACAGGUACAAAAAUAAAAGUGAAGUCCAUAGCGACAAUGACAACGAGUCAACGACAGUGAUGAAGACACCAAGCCUACUAAAGAGAGCUAAUCAGUAACUGCAAUAGAAGAAUAAGACGUAACUAACUGUUGAUGGACUUUUAAUGGUCUACGCUUUUGUGAAGGGAGAAGAGCAUUUUGCCGGGUGGGGAAGCAAAAGAUGCAAGAGAGCCUUUGACACUUACUGUGAUGGCUCAGCGUAUGUAAUUAUUAGUACUGCUAUCACUAUGAAAUGCAGCGUAUGUAAUUAUCUGACGUCAGCACCUUGUCACGAUCUGAUUUCCGCUUAGUGAUGGGAAGGCAAGAUGCUGUUCUCCUAUAGUCUUCCCCGAAGUGUGUUGCCCCGCAUAGUAUGUCCUGUUUGACAAAAAAGC